rnacentral:rRNA from 1 species
UACGUAGGUGGCAAGCGUUGUCCGGAUUACUGGGCGUAAGAGCGCGCAGGCGGUCGUUCAAGUCGCGUGUGAAAGCCCCCGGCUCAACUGGGGAGGGUCACGCGAUACUGAUCGACUCGAAGGCAGGAGAGGGAAGUGGAAUUCCCGGGUGUAGUGGUGAAAUCGCGUAGAUAUCGGGAGGAACACCAGUGGCGAAGGCGACUCCUGGCCUGUUCUUGGACGCUGAGGCGCGAAAGCUAGGGAGCAAACGGG